rnacentral:rRNA from 1 species
GGGCUGCAGUAGGGAAUAUUGCGCAAUGGGCGAAAGCCUGACGCAGCGACGCCGCGUGGGUGAUGAAGCUCUUUGGAGCGUAAAACCCUGUCAGUGGGGAAGAACCGCUUGUGGAGUAACUGCCACAGGUCUGACGGUACCCACAAAGGAAGCUCCGGCUAACUCCGUGCCAGCAGCCGCGGUAAUACGGGGGGAGCGAGCGUUGUUCGGAUUUACUGGGCGUAAAGGGCGUGUAGGCGGAUUCUCAAGUCAAAUGUGAAAACCAGCGGCUUAACCGCUGGCCUGCAUUUGAUACUGUGAAUCUUGAGUACGGGAGAGGAAAGCGGAAUUCCUGGUGUAGCGGUGAAAUGCGUAGAUAUCAGGAGGAACACCGGUGGCGAAGGCGGCUUUCUGGCCCGAUACUGACGCUGAGGCGCGAAGGCCGGGGGAGCAAACAGGAUUAGAUACCCCGGUAGUC